CAACUCUUGGCAAUGGAUCUCUUGGUUCUGGCAUCGAUGAAGAGGGUAGCAAGGUGCGAUAAUUAUUGCGACUGGCAUUCAUAGGGAUUCAUCGAGUUUUCGAACGCUUCUUGCGCUUAGUAGUCAAUUUACUAGGCCCAGUUGUUUCAGUAUCUGCA
rnacentral:rRNA from 1 species